rnacentral:rRNA from 1 species
GACUCAACACGGGAAAUCUCACCAGGCCCGGACACCGGAAGGAUUGACAGAUUAACAGCUCUUUCUUGAUUCGGUGGGUGGUGGUGCAUGGCCGUUCUUAGUUGGUGGAGCGAUUUGUCUGGUUAAUUCCGGUAACGAACGAGACUCUAGCCUGCUAAAUAGGCGUCGUCAUUUUGGUGCGCUCUGACUCAACUGGCGACGUAUUAAAAUUCUUCUUAGAGGGACCGGCGGCUUCGAGCCGCACGAGAUUGAGCAAUAACAGGUCUGUGAUGCCCUUAGAUGUCCUGGGCCGCACGCGCGCUACACUGAAGGAAUCAGCAUGUUCUCCCUGGCCUAGAGGCCCGGGCAACCCGCUGAAACUCCUUCGUGCUGGGGAUUGGGGUUUGCAAUUAUCCCCCAUAAACGAGGAAUUCCUAGUAAGCGCGAGUCAUAAGCUCGCGUUGAUUACGUCCCUGCCCUUUGUACACACCGCCCGUCGCUACUACCGAUUGAAUGAUUUAGUGAGGUCUUCGGACCG